GGCACGCAAACCCUAUGUCUGAACAUUGAAUAACCAUCUCGGAACCAACCCACAAAUCUGACUCGAUACUCGACUCACUCUGAUCUCUUUUAGCUUGCAAGUCACUAUCAAUAGUCUGGGCAUCACAAAUUUCCUAAAGAAAUGUCGAUCUGGCCUCAAGCUCUGCCAAAACUGAACCAUCAUCGAGCAUCCAUGGCUCUCAAUGCAAACAAGGACUUUCUGCUUAAUGCGUCGUUGAC
rnacentral:lncRNA from 1 species